rnacentral:rRNA from 1 species
CGUGAGCAAUCUGCCCUUGACUCUGGGAUAACUGGCGGGAAACUGUAGCUAAUACCGGAUACGACACCGUUGGGGCAUCCCCAGGGUGUGGAAAGAAUUUCGGUCAAGGAUGAGCUCGCGGCCUAUCAGCUAGUUGGUGAGGUAAUGGCUCACCAAGGCGACGACGGGUAGCCGGCCUGAGGAGGGUGACCGGCCACACUGGAACUGAGACACGGUCCAGACUCCUACGGGGAGGCAGCAGGUGGGGAAUAUUGCACAAUGGACGAAAGUCUGAUGCAGCAACGCCGCGUGAGGGAUGAAGGCCUUCGGGUUGUAAACCUCUUUUAGCAGGGAAGAAGCGAAAGUGACGGUACCUGCAGAAAAAGCACCGGCUAACUACGUG